UGCAGUUGCAUGAGUUAAUCUAUAAAAUAUUAUAAAAUAUUGGUGUCAUUAUUGCCACUUUCCAUUCUUCAGGUGACACAACUCAUUUAAAAGACAUUAUUGUUCACAGUUAAGAGUUCAGCAGUUACUUGUUUUGUUGCUUUAGAAUUCCUGAGGGAAACAUUACUGUGGGCUUAUCCUCUGGAAAUGAAUAGCUCUGGGGUAGGAAGAUCUCAAGACUCUCCUGGAAUGAAUAUAAAGAAUUAAUUUUGACUUUUUUUUUUUUUUCCCAGUAACAUCACCUUAGUGAAUGCUCCUUUUAAAACUUGAUCACAGAAUCACAGAAUCACAGAAUUUCUAGGUUGGAAGAGACCUCAAGAUCAUCGAGUCCAACCUCCGACCUAACGCCAACAGUCUAUUGGAUCCACAGAUUUUCUUGAAAGAUUUUUAUUCCCAUUGGAAUUUCUGUCUUGUGACAAUAAAUGACACCACUGGAGAAAAAUUUCAGAGUUUUUAGCAGAAAACUGUUAGCAGCAACACAGUUUUUGCAGGCCAGCUAUGGAGCCUUGUGCCACACAGUUUGCCAUUGCAUUCUCAUACUUACCAGCAGCAGAAUGCUAGCAAGAUUCAGCAUACAUAUGCUCACACAGCAGUGUGCAUACUGGGCAAAAAUUGCUUUUCCCAUUCCUGUCUUCUUUGACUUUGACAUUUAAUUCUCUUGCCAUCUCAUUUGAACAAUUUUGAUUGUCAUUUUCCAAUAAUUUCAACCUGAAGCUAACAAUCAGCAUUUAAAAUAUCAAACCAGACCUGUUAGAAAAUUUAGAAGUCACUGAAAAUAGGGUCUUUAUAUGGAAACUGUGAAACUGGCAUGGUGCUCUCCAUGAGCCUUGAGUGCCAUUUUGGAUGCCCAGGAGAGGUAGCUGUGAAACCAGUGGGAAGAGAGACCUGUACUUGCACAUCAUCUGGAGACCUGACCACAUAUUUUAGAGCAUCUCAGACGGCAUUAGACCCCUCAGCUUUGUCUCCUGAAUCAAGCAUAGGAUGCUUUCAACUUCCUUGUGUUUCAAUGAAGAUGUUUCCAAAGGUUGAUGUCACAAGUUGAUUUGAAGAGAG
rnacentral:lncRNA from 1 species